GUGUAUGAAAAGGCUUGAGCCUCAAAAAGCAAAAUAUGGCUCAAGACUUCCGAUGAAGGUACAUGACUUUAAGGCUCAAAGGCCUUGAAGGUUCAAAGGCCUUGAAGGUUCAAAGGCCUUGAAGGCUCAAAGACCUUGAAGGCUCAAAGGCCUUGAAGGCUCAAAAGCCUUGCAGGCUCAAAGGCCUUGAAGGUUCAAAGGCCUUGAAGGUUCAAAGUCCUUGCAGGCUCAAAGGCCUUGAAGGCUCAAAAGCUUUGAAGGCUCAAAGGCCUUGAAGGUUCAAAGGCCUUGAAGGCUCAAAGGCCUUGAAGGUUCAAAGGCCUUGAUGGCUCAAAGGCCUUGAAGGUUCAAAGGCCUUGAAGGCUCAAAGGCCUUGAAGGCUCAAAAGCCUUGAAGGUUCAAAGGCCUUGAAGGC